rnacentral:lncRNA from 1 species
GGGCUAAAAAAGUCAAAUGUCUUAUACUUUGUGAUGGAGGAAGUACAUUACUAGUAUAAACUAUGUGAUGAUUAUUACUUUGUUAAAUCCACUAGUAAAUUUAUGUUAACUCAUAAUUAUCUUGCUGAUUAAAAUUUUAUUAUAUUAGUAGACCGCUCAAAAAAAAUUAGUCAGAAUUUCAACUUGUAAGUGAGUUCUGAAUUUUUUAAAAUAUAGCUUCUGGUAGACAUCUAUAUAUAUAUAUAUAUAUAUAUAAUAAAAGCUACUCCCUCCAUCCCAAAUUGUAAGUCGUUUGACUUUUUUUACCCCA